rnacentral:rRNA from 1 species
GUGGGGAAUCUUGCGCAAUGGGCGAAAGCCUGACGCAGCCAUGCCGCGUGAAUGAUGAAGGUCUUAGGAUUGUAAAAUUCUUUCACCGGGGACGAUAAUGACGGUACCCGGAGAAGAAGCCCCGGCUAACUUCGUGCCAGCAGCCGCGGUAAUACGAAGGGGGCUAGCGUUGCUCGGAAUUACUGGGCGUAAAGGGCGCGUAGGCGGACAGUUUAGUCAGAGGUGAAAGCCCAGGGCUCAACCUUGGAAUUGCCUUUGAUACUGGCUAUCUUGAGUAUGGAAGAGGUAUGUGGAACUCCGAGUGUAGAGGUGAAAUUCGUAGAUAUUCGGAAGAACACCAGUGGCGAAGGCGACAUACUGGUCCAUUACUGACGCUGAGGCUCGAAAGCGUGGGGAGCAAACAGGAUUAGAAACCCCUGUAGUCC